CCACGGAGUUCUAAAGGGUCAAUUUCACAUUAGUCAUAAAUAUAGCUGGAAAGAAAGAGUCAUCUGCUGAUUUUAUCCUGCUGACCUGCUACACACAGAUUUGGCAUCAGGUAGAAAAGUAUAAGGUCCAUGUUUUUCAUCAUUUAAACCAGGAAUGGCUCACCUGAAACCUCACAGGAGCUGAGUUGAGUGGGUAGAAGGGGACAAUAAAGGACAAAUGGGAAGGGAGUGCUUAGCUACCCAGGAGAUAAGGACCGAAGGCAGCCGGACCUCAGAGUUGUGAGGGCCAGGGCCAGGUCUGCUAUGCCUACUGUCGUGAUCCCAUCACCUGUUGAAUACUCCUCAGCGAGAGUGGUUUCAGUUUUCAUAGAGCACCGUGAUGGAAGUUGGACUUUCCCGAGGAUACACACACCUUUCAUACUAAGCACCACCUUGUCCUCGGACUGUUCUUGUACUGGCCUUGUUUACAAAACAGAAUUUUUUGAAAGGAGAAAAAUGAAAUGUUCACUUAAGAAGUGAAAUAUGAAUAAAAUUACAGUCUCAAGCCAAGCCUAUAUUAUUUUUAAAAUCAGUGAAUAAAACAAGGGAAAUUAAAUCGCAACCUUUACCUGAACUAGUUCUUUUUUUUUAAAAAAAAAAUAGUAUUCCCGUAGUAGGAAAAUAAUUCAUCUGGCUUGACUGUGUUCAUUACCACAUAGCUGGCCUGUUGUCUCACACAGGCACCAAGAAGAUAUGAAGCUAAACCAACAGACCAUGAUUUGUUGGCUCUACCAAGUAUAAACUAGCCACUGGAAAAUCAAGUUGAAAACAUAGGACACAUCUAUGAAAGAAACAAGCCACAGCUUGCAGGAGAGAAAAUGUUUGCAGAAAAACUCCAGCAUUACAGGUUUAUCUAAGGUGUGGUCUCCAGUAAGCCUCAGUAAUUACCAGGAUACCACAGCUAGUGGCUGAAAAAUGUGCUUCACAGACUUAACCCUUUCACCCUAUCCCUAGACAAUUUCUUAGAGGAAAUUGCACUCCAGCCAGAUUUAGAUUAAACAAGAAGACUUGUUUUUAUUGUAACUGAAGUUGUUUUUAAACAUUGCUACUACGGUCUACUACAGAUAUUUCUUAACGGUGGCCUUUAGCUUGUUCUUGCUAUAAUGACAGAGGUUUGCCUUCAUUUUAUGCUGCAUCACAAUUGAGAAUCUUACACCACUUGGGGGCUUUGUGGUUGAGGGGUAAUAUGGUGUAGGAGGAAAAAGGAGCUAAAAAUUGCAUUCUGGUCUUGCCUCUGGCCUGAAGCAAACUUCUUCAUAACUUGGAUCUCCGUUUUCUUACCCUGUCCAUGGCAUGAUGUGGUCUCUGGGGAACCUUUGAGCUCUACCUCUCCGUUUUUCUAUUCUGGGUAAGUGUGACAUCAAGAAGCAGUUCUUUCUAAUUAUAGCCACAAAAAUACGUCUAAGUUAUUGAUUAUCACACCUGGAUUCAGAAAAGUCAUAAUAUUUUGAUUGCUUUGUUUUGUUAAAUAAUGAGAAAAACUGAAAAAGUAUUUGUUUUGGUUUGAAUUGUACCCAAGUUAAAAAAAAAUCUUCUACCUACGUUACUUCCCUUGAAAAUGACCUGAUUUGUCUUACUCUGUGUUUUGGAUUUUGACAUCAUAUUAACAUUUAUAUGUCCCCUGAGUAUAUUUCAGUGUUUUCUUUCGAAAGCAUUUAGUUUUACAUAAAAUGUAGGGUUUUAGGUAGAAGAUGCCUGAACCUGCACCUGUAUUCCUUCUAGAAGCUGCGGCUUUACUCUGCUUUCAUAAUACGAAUAGCCCCUUUCCCAUAGAAACUGUGCAAAUGCCUAUAGCUAGUGGUCCAUCAAAUCCAAUAGUGAGAGGAAAAUUCAGGCAUAAUCUCAUCCAGCCCCUCACAUUUUGAUGAUCACAGCAUUAUAGUAAUUAAUAACUAUCAUUCUUCGGGUACUUCCUAUAAAGCCAGAUAUUCUGCUGGGCAUGUUACGUUCCUUAUCUCAUUCAGUUCUUAAAGCAGCUUCAUAAACUAGGAGUUAUUAUUCCCACCCCUGAGAAAGGAAAAUUUAAGUAACUUGCCUCCAAGUCCAUACACUUAAUAACUAUUGGAACUGAGACUCAAACUCGGGCCUGUAAGAUGCUAAAAUCCUUUGAUUUUAAACUCUAGUGUACAAUGAGGAAAUCGAAACCAUGUAGCCUCAAGUUAGAGAAUUUUGCAUGCCCUGUUUCCUCUGCACGGAAAACUCUUCUCCCCAUCCUCCAUCCCAUUCUGCAAGCUCCUAC
ensembl:lncRNA